CAACAACAAUGGCGGGGAUAAUCCAGCAGAGAAGACGCUCAAUAGUAUCCUAGUGUCUAAAGUUCAUCUGUUGGUGAGAAGUUCUAGCAUCUUUGAAACAAAAUCGUCCUCUGUACAAAAAGACAAGACAAAAACCUCAUAAUCGUAGCUUCCAUGGAGUCUGGUGUGAUUAAGCCAAGAACAUCAUACGUUUCCAUCCAGAAAAUUACACACCCAAAACGUAAAAUCAGGAUAUCAUCAGCUCCUAACCCUGAACCGUUCCAUCUAGUUGAACUAAUAAGAUAGUUUUUUCUACUUCGGUGAAGAAAAGUAACUCUCAUUUGCAACGAAAUGUCAAUUUUAACUUUUCAAGGACAAAGCUAACAUAAUAGCAAAAGGAAAGUCAGUAACCACAUUUAGCUUUAUUCCCCAUUGAAUUCGUAAUGAGGUUUGUGGGAAGGAAAAACAACAACAUGAAAUAACUAUUAAGAAUUCUUAUAUACAUAGUGUCUGUCCCAAAAGGAGCCUCACUUCGUAUUUCCGUGAUGUUUAUUAUAGUGUUAUUGUAGUUCCAGUUAAGGUCCCUUGCACAAACACUUUCAGCCUUCUGUUGAUUCUUUAACACUCAUAUUAUUUGCUGUUAAUUUGCUACAACUCAUGCUUUAUAACUCUUCACUACAACUUUUAGUUUUAAAGAAAAAUAUCAAAUCAUGCUUGGGUGAAGUGACUUUUAGGAACAUUAUAUACACUAUUAAAAUAAACUCAAAAUAAUGAAAAUUUGUUAAUGCAAAUGUUUAUGAGUAGUUUACUCUUGUAUAAAAUUAGAUUGGAAAGAAUAUAAACAAUAUAAAGAUUAUUUAUCACUAUAUUACUGGAUGUUAAAACAUCUUAAUAAUG